AAUAAGGUGCCUGAUAAAAGGACUAUUUUGAUAGAAUAGAAUAUGUAUGUUUAUACCCUUAUUA
rnacentral:tRNA from 1 species